UGCCAGAUCUGGGCACUCCGGUGGCCUGCUGUUCGCCACCGUCCUCGCUCAUGUUGGGUUCUACCUCCGGUAUCCUCCACCGGCGCCUCUCCUCGUCGGACUUCACCACCCGCGCCCCUGCUCUCAUUAGUGAGGUACAGAGAAUUUGACGGACGAGAUUAGGAUUGUGUGGGCGAAUUGAGAUAAUUAAGGCGAUUAAGAGCGGGAAAGAGUAAAUGAAAAUUGGAGUUGAAGCAUAGUUACAGGGAUUCUUAAAAGUAUCUAUGUUAAUAAGUUUGGGUUGUAAUAUUGCAAACUCAAGUAUUUGAUUUAGAUGCUCUGUACUUGCUUCUUUAUGAUUAGUAAAUAAAUUUGAUCAGAUUUGGUCUUAUUUCAUGAAAUAAAAUUGUUAUCAUGGGCUUCGUGCUAUUAUGGGCAGCAACCUACAAUAGCACGGCCGUGUCAUAAA